UACAGAGGUCUCAAGCGUUGUUCGGAUUCAUUGGGCGUAAAGGGUGCGUAGGUGGCGUGGUAAGUCGGGUGUGAAAUUUCGGAGCUUAACUCCGAAACUGCAUUCGAUACUGCCGUGCUUGAGGACUGGAGAGGAGACUGGAAUUUACGGUGUAGCAGUGAAAUGCGUAGAGAUCGUAAGGAAGACCAGUGGCGAAGGCGGGUCUCUGGACAGUUCCUGACACUGAGGCACGAAGGCCAGGGGAGCAAACGGGG
rnacentral:rRNA from 1 species